CCUACGGGUGGCAGCAGUCGAGAAUCAUUCACAAUGGGGGAAACCCUGAUGGUGCGACGCCGCGUGGGGGAAUGAAGGUCUUCGGAUUGUAAACCCCUGUCAUGUGGGAGCAAAUUAAAAAGAUAGUACCACAAGAGGAAGAGACGGCUAACUCUGUGCCAGCCGCCGCGGUAAUACCGAGGUCUCAAGCGUUGUUCGGAAUCACUGGGCGUAAAGCGUGCGUAGGCUGUUUCGUAAGUCGUGUGUGAAAGGCGAGGUCUCAACCCGCGGACGGCACAUGAUACUGCGAGACUAGAGUAAUGGAGGGGGAAGCGGAAUUCUAGGUGUAGCAGUGAAAUGCGUAGAUAUCGAGAGGAACACUCGUGGCGAAGGCGGGUUCCUGGACAUUAACUGACGCUGAGGCACGAAGGCCAGGGGAGCGAAAGGGAUUAGAUACCCUGGUAGUC
rnacentral:rRNA from 1 species